CCAAGAGGAAUAGAAAGCCCCUCUCUAAUUUUCAUAUUAGCAUCCACCCUCACCUUCUUUUUGUGUCGCACAUAAUACCUCUUCUUUUACUGAUGUUUUUAGUUUCUUUUUGUUGCACACAACCAUAACAACCGAUGGUUGUUGGUCCCUCCUUUAAAUAGAUGCCCACAUGAUCUAAUUAUGUCCUUACUGAUUUAGGACUCCUAACCAAGUAGGAAACUAACA
rnacentral:lncRNA from 1 species